UAACGGAGGGUGCGAGCGUGUCCGGAUUUAUUGGGUUUAAAGGGUGCGUAGGUGGGUUAAUAAGUCAGUGGUGAAAUACGGUUGCUCAACAAUCGAGGUGCCAUUGAUACUGUUAAUCUUGAAACAAGUGGAGGUUGCCGGAAUGGAUGGUGUAGCGGUGAAAUGCAUAGAUAUCAUCCAGAACACCGAUUGCGAAGGCAGGUGACUACGUUUGAAUUGACACUGAGGCACGAAAGCAUGGGGAGCAAACAGG
rnacentral:rRNA from 1 species